CCUACGGGUGGCAGCAGUGAGGAAUAUUGGUCAAUGGACGAGAGUCUGAACCAGCCAAGUAGCGUGAAGGAUGACUGCCCUAUGGGUUGUAAACUUCUUUUAUAUGGGAAUAAAAUGUUCCACGUGUGGGCUUUUGUAUGUACCAUAUGAAUAAGGCUCGGCUAACUCCGUGCCAGCAGCCGCGGUAAUACGGAGGAUCCGAGCGUUAUCCGGAUUUAUUGGGUUUAAAGGGAGCGUAGGUGGAUUGUUAAGUCAGUUGUGAAAGUUUGCGGCUCAACCGUAAAAUUGCAGUUGAAACUGGCAGUCUUGAGUACAGUAGAGGUGGGCGGAAUUCGUGGUGUAGCGGUGAAAUGCUUAGAUAUCACGAAGAACUCCGAUUGCGAAGGCAGCUCACUGGACUGCAACUGACACUGAGGCUCGAAAGUGUGGGUAUCAAACAGGAUUAGAUACCCUAGUAGUC
rnacentral:rRNA from 1 species